CUAAUAUAAGCCAUAAGUUUAAUUUUUAGUACAAAUUUUAUUACUUUUUGGUUUUUAGAUAUUAAGAGGCUGUAUUGGGCAUACUUUGUCAUAAUUUUUAUUAGGACAAAAUAACUACAGACUGUGGCUUAUCAGAGUAUUAAUUUUUUAGAGAAUUGUUUUCUCUCAUGUGGCAAAAAAAUUUCAAAAAUAACAUGACAAUUUUCAAUGAAAUGCAUUAAACAUAGUUAACAUAUACAAACAUCAGAGGGAAAAGAAUAUCAGUUGUUUAGGAGUUUUGAAAUUUAAAGAGACUUUCCUGCAACUGCUAAAUUUUGUCUUGAUGAUUUUGGAAUUUCCAUGAAUACAAAUUGAUAAUCAAUUCCUCUGUCUCACAUACUGGAUACAUCUGUGAGUCCUUAAGAAUUAGGGCUAUAGCUAUGGCCAUAUGACUACAUCACUUUUUUUUUUUAAACUGGAAAACAAAACCUCCUCUUAAAUGAGAUGAGGCAGAGCUUAUUUUUUCAUGGUUUAUUUAUCUGGAAACAGGCCACUUUACACGUGGAUGAUACUAUAUACCUGGAUCAUCAUAUUUACAAAGUCCGCUAGGUGAUUGAUGCUAAAGAUGGAGAAACUUCAGAGACGUGCUGCCCACAUCCUAGGAGAUGAAACCUCCAUGGCUUUAUAAUAAGAGAGAAAUGAAGAGUGGUGCAGUGUACUGAGGACAACAGUUAGGUGGAAAUUUUCACUAAUGAGAAAUUGAUUGAAAAAGCAGCAGAGAGCCAGUUAAACAGGAACUGAGAACUAAGGAAGUGAAACAUUUGUGGAGGAGUAAUUUGGGAAACAGAGACCAGCACAAACGAAACUCCCAGAAUGACAGUAAUGCAGCAGACUCUGUGAUAUUUUGCAGCCAGGGUGGUAACCCAGAAGAUUUUCUUUUACUGCAAAACAAAGCGUCAUACCUCUGAAGAUGUUUCAUAUAUCCUGGUUUUUAAAUGUUGUUUAGAAGAGGAAGAACUUCUGUAGCUUAAGAUAUUGAUGAUCGAUAAUCUUUUCAGACUGCUCUACAUUAUCUCCAGAAUUUCCUUCUAUGAUAUGGAUGUCAAUUCUAGAAGACUUGUUGCUGGUGCUCUCUUACUGGAAUGUGUCUAUGGAAGGUUUUCAAAGUAUAAACAGAACUCACAUUCCUUCCCGAGUUGUUUCUUAAGUAGUUUGAGAUGGAAAUGUCAACAUUUCAGUUGUGUUAUCAUGCCACAAAUAACAAUGAUACUUGCUCAAGCACAGGCAGUGAUGAGUUUGUUGGGAAUGCCGUCUGCCUGACAGAAAUUAUAAGAUAUCAUUAAUCUUAAGAAGCAUCUUGAUUUCAAAGAUGUUAAAAUAUGUAAAAAAAAAAUUGUAACUUAUAAUAAAUGUAAUGCAAUACUUUAC
rnacentral:lncRNA from 1 species